GCCCCCGUGGCGGAACGGCAGACGCUGGGGACUUAAAAUCCCCUGCCCGAAAGGGCGUGCGGGUUCGACUCCCGCCGGGGGCA
rnacentral:tRNA from 1 species